ensembl:lncRNA
CGGAGGGGUAACUUAAGUACUUUGGGGGCUGGCAGAUUUUUGGAGGGUCACGCACUCCCGGAUCGGUUUUCAUCUGAAGCUUUAGCAGAGAAAGACACCCGAUCCUGGGGUUUUUCCCCUUCCCUUCCCCCCGCCUUUUGUGGAUGAGUUAUCUACAACGUAGCAUCUUUUCAGAAAGCCUGCCUUCUCAUAGGCAUGCCAGAGUAAAGCCACACUCCACUUUCCAUAUUGAGGUUUUGAUUUUGAAAUGGAUUUGCCUUAAAAUUUGGGGUAAUUGGAUCAUAUGUAAAGUCCCCAGCCCCACAACGUACGUUCAGUGACCAGCCAGGUCUCAUAUCUUGGAACUCAACCUGCAGGUUCUUUUGCUUACGUCGGGAGUUUGGUGUUUCCAAGAGAUUUAAGAACUUUUUUUUUUUUCCCCCUUUUAUUGGGUCUAGAUAAACCCAGGAAUAUAUAUUAUUUUACUUCCUUCCAGAAAGAUUGCCGAAUCCAAAAAUGAGGGAUCAGAGUUGUGUGGAAUAUACUGAUAUUUUAAUUCAUUCUUUUGCUAAAUAUUUACUGAGCACCUACUAUGUGCUGGGUACUGUUCUUUGGGCUGGAGGCACAGGGGAGAACAAGAUGGAUAAUCCCUGCCCUCGUAAUGAUUAUCGUCUUCUGUGUGGGAGACAUGGGACAUGCAGAUACAGACUCCAGUGUCCUCUAAAGAAAGCAGGGCGAAGGGGAGACAGAGGGAUGAUCUGGUAUAAGUAAGGAGAGAGGAAGUGAUGGGUCAGAGAAGAGCCCUUCGGGGUGGACUGCUGGCACAGAAGCCUGAAGGAUGGGAGGAAAGGAACUGGGGGAAGUGGUGUUCAAGUAGCAGGGUGUGCAAAGGCCCUGGGGUUGAAAAGGCUGAGUGUGUUGGAGGAGCAGAAAAGAGGGCGCAUGGCCAGGGUGCUGAGAUGAGGGCGGGGAGGCAGAUGUGCCCCCCACCCCCGUCCAUGGCAUCCAGACUGAGUGCUAUGAGAACCAAGCAAGCGUGUUAAAGUUGGCUCGUGAGUGUGUCAGAAGCUGAACUGUGUCCGAGGGGCCCACUGACCCAUCCCUGCCUGUCUCUGUCUCCACCUCUGUGUUCCAAGGGGGUUCCGGUGAGACCAUUCCCACUGGAGUCAGCCCUCGCCCAUGCCGACUUUCUGCAUGACUUCACUGGCAUGAGCAACACUAACUCUUACAUAAGGGGGAGAAGAAGCUGGUCCUUGGCUGAAGUUUCCUCUUGCUUUUCCAGCAAAUACUACAAAGGGUCUCUGUUCAGCCCCGCCUGGGGUGCUGUGAGCAGAGCUGAUUGUUGUCAGGCAAGCCCUGGAAAGCCGGCCACCCCUGAUGGAGAAGGUGCUUUCCCUUCAGAAGGCCCUGCUCUGAGCGGCCCCUCUUCCCCGACCCACUCCUUCCAAGACGCAGUACUCGGCAUAGGACGCCCACCUGCCCGCCUUGCGCGGGGCUGACCUGGACAUCCCUGCCCGGGGCUCACACCCCUGCAGGACUGGGGGUAGAUGGAGCCAAAGAGGAUGUCCCCCAGGCUCUACAGACUCAGCAACUUGGGGUGGAGAAUGAGAGUGGAUCAGUCAUUGGAUUGAUGAGGAAACUGGCUCCCUGAACGGCUGAGUCACUCUCCCCAGGCCCCACGGGCAGUCAGUGGUGGAGCUGAAU